CUUGCUCAUUUCAUAACUCAAGAGCACAGGCUGCUGAGAAAGGCCCACGGGAAGACAGUUAUGGCCCAAGUGAAAAGGAAGCAGGAGAGGCAGGAACUAUUCAAAGGGCCCAGGGAGCCUGAAGGCCACCCACUCCACCACUCCACAGCAUUUCCUGCUUCGCUUGCCCACUGCUGCUAUGAAACUCCACUGAGAAGAAGAGCCAUCUCUCCUCCUCCUCUGGGCAGCUGCUAAGCCCUGAGGAUUCUGUGGUCUGCAAUACACGCCAGCCGCCACUCAGUACAGAUGUGACUACAUGCACCGUCUCCUGGAAACCUGGGGCUGAACCUUUCUGUUGAGUUGGAAGAUGCCACGAUUGUGAGGGGAACAAACACUGACAAGUCCAUGACACACAAUUCUGGAAUUGCCUUCCUGGUGCCUUAGACGAAAGCACGUACAAGCUCAGGGCUCUGUAUGCUGAGUGACAGGGCACCAUGAAGGAACACAGGGAGAGACAUGCUAGCUGCUUCCAGACCCACUCAGACAGCUGAAGGAAGGGAAGGGAAGGAAACGGCCCUUGGUGUUUUCAGUCCUCAAGGUGGAGAACCAGGGGAUUUCUGAUGAUCUCAGAGGGCUUGCUGUCCUUGUGGCUGUCCGCCAGUGCCUCCUACCAGCUCAGGACCGCUGAAGCACAGCUAGGGCAGACUGAAGCAUUACCUCCGUGUAACGUUGGAGCGAGUAAAAUAUGUUUCACUAUUCUCAAUGGACUUUUAGCUACACAUUGUUUUUGUCUUUUUAUUCUUUAGCAAAUGCUGUGGGUGGGUUUGGGACUAUGGCAAAAAUAACACUGAGUGACUUUCAAAGCUGGGGGCUUUUCCUGGACACUGGGUUGGAGCCCUGUGCUGCCUUGUAAGCAGUCCUGUUGUCCCUCAGCUGAUUCAUGAGGAGAAGCAGCCUAGAGAAGCCUUGAGAUGAGGUCAAGAAUCCCUGCUGGCCUCAUGCUAUCCUAAGUGUGGAGGACUUGUGUUGGUAGGAGUGUCCUAAGCCCCAUGAAGUCCCUAUUUCACCGUCACCUAAUUGUAACUUCUGAGAAAACCCAAAGCCCAAUUCAGCCCUCCCCAGAUUCCUGUUGCAGAGACACAGGAGAAACAAACAACACACAGGGAGUUGCGGGGUUUAAGGCGCUAUGCUUCGGGCACAGGGUAUGUAGGAGAGUGAGCCACCAACUAGUUGCUCCAUUGUGGCCAGAGAGCAGAAGAGGCCAAUGGUCACAAAAGACCAGACUCAAGAACUUUUGGAUUAGUCAAAGAACAGAACUCCCAACUUCU